UGCCAGCAGCCGCGGUAAUACGAAGGGUGCUAGCGUUGUUCGGAAUUACUGGGCGUAAAGAGCAUGUAGGCGGAUGAAUUAGUCAGAGGUGAAAGCCCCGAGCUCAACUUGGGAACUGCCUUUGAUACUGUUUAUCUAGAGUCCGAGAGAGGUUAGUGGAAUUCCCAGUGUAGAGGUGAAAUUCGUAGAUAUUGGGAAGAACACCGAUGGCGAAGGCAUCUCUCUGGGCCAAUACUGACGCUGAGGUGCGAAAGCGUGGGGAGCGAACGGGAUUAGAUA
rnacentral:rRNA from 1 species